rnacentral:rRNA from 1 species
UACGUAGGGAGCAAGCGUUGUCCGGAUUUAUUGGGCGUAAAGAGCUCGUAGACGGUUCCGUAAGUCGGGUGUGAAAAAUCUGGGCUCAACCCGGUGGAGCACUCGAUACUGCGGUGACUCGAGUCCGGUAGGGGAGUGUGGAAUUCCUGGUGUAGCGGUGAAAUGCGCAGAUAUCAGGAGGAACACCGACGGCGAAGGCAGCACUCUGGGCUGACACUGACGCUCAUGCACGAAAGCGUGGGGAGCAAACAGG